GACGAACGCUGGCGGCGUGCUUAACACAUGCAAGUCGAACGGAAAGGCCCCUUUGGGGGUACUCGAGUGGCGAACGGGUGAGUAACACGUGAGUAACCUGCCCUUGACUUCGGGAUAACUUCCGGAAACUGGGGCUAAUACCGGAUAGGAAUCCUUGCUGCAUGGUGGGGGUUGGAAAGCUUCGGCGGUUUUGGAUGGACUCGCGGCUUAUCAGCUUGUUGGUGGGGUAGUGGCUUACCAAGGCUUUGACGGGUAGCCGGCCUGAGAGGGCGACCGGCCACAUUGGGACUGAGAUACGGCCCAGACUCCUACGGGAGGCAGCAGUGGGGAAUAUUGCACAAUGGGCGGAAGCCUGAUGCAGCAACGCCGCGUGCGGGAUGACGGCCUUCGGGUUGUAAACCGCUUUCAGCAGGGGAGAAGCUUGUGGUGACGGUACCUGCAGAAGAAGCACCGGCUAACUACGUG
rnacentral:rRNA from 1 species